rnacentral:rRNA from 1 species
UACGGAGGGUGCAAGCGUUAUCCGGAUUCACUGGGUUAAAGGGUGCGUAGGUGGGCAGGUAAGUCAGUGGUGAAAUCUCCGGGCUUAACCCGGAAACUGCCAUUGAUACUAUCUGUCUUGAAUAUCGUGGAGGUGAGCGGAAUAUGUCAUGUAGCGGUGAAAUGCUUAGAUAUGACAUAGAACACCAAUUGCGAAGGCAGCUCACUACGCGAAUAUUGACACUGAGGCACGAAAGCGUGGGAUCAAACAGG